rnacentral:lncRNA from 1 species
UUGCAUAAACGAGAAAACAACAAUGGAGUCAACGGCCACUGUUGCAUUGGAUCGUUCAGUUCAGCUAAAAGCUUUCGACGAGACCAAGACCGGCGUGAAAGGCCUUGUCGACGCCGGAAUCUCAGAGAUUCCCGCCAUAUUCCGUGCACCUCCGGCUACUAUAACAACCCCAAAACCACCUUCUUCGUCGCAGUUCACCAUCCCAACAAUCGAUCUCCAAGGAGGUGCUGACUCGAUCUCGCGGCGCAACUUGCUGGUGGAGAAGAUCGGAGACGCGGCUGAGAAGUGGGGCUUCUUCCAGGUGAUCAAUCACGGUAUCUCGCCAGAUGUGAUGGAGAGGAUGAGAGAAGGGGUUCGUGAGUUUCACGAGCAAGACCCGGAAGUGAGGAAAGGGUUCUAGGAAGAGAGAGGGAAGGGGAGAGACAUCUGAGCAGAGGGCGCGUAUAACUGCAGGAGAAUGCAAACGGAGAUCUUGUGCGGAGUCACCGCAAAAGCGCCGGCUGUUCUCGUUAAUCCGGCCAUCUCUGUCGCCGCCGCUAAAGUACAAUCGCUCUCGCCGGUUAUCUCCUCCGAUAAGGAGACGGGAUUAGGUCACUGGGGGGAUUUACUUAUUUUGAAGUUUUGACUCGAGUCUGUCACCGGGAAAGGUUUGAAAUGAAUUAACAAAAAUCUUAGAGAACCGGUUAUUUCAUGCCGUCCGGUUUAGAGUAUCGGUUACCUAGAGGCCGGGUGUGAAACCGCUAUAAAUCUAUAAGUUUACAACAAUACCAACAACAACGGGGAUGUAGCUCAGAUGGUAGAGCGCUCGCUUAGCAUGCGAGAGGUACGGGGAUCGAUACCCCGCAUCUCCAUUUUUUUUAUUUUAUGAAAUUAUCCGAUUUAGCCGCCUGUUUUUUUCCAAUGUUUUUUUUCCUUGUUUCUCCCACGUGGUCACGUGAAUCACGUUUAAUUUUCAUUUUCAAACCUAACUUGAUCGUUCGUUGACUUGGAACAUUUCACAAGUGUUAACUUUAAAGAAGGAACUGUUAGUUUAAUCUCGGCAAUCAAUAUCUUUGCAUAAACGAGAAAACAACAAUGGAGUCAACGGCCACUGUUGCAUUGGAUCGUUCAGUUCAGCUAAAAGCUUUCGACGAGACCAAGACCGGCGUGAAAGGCCUUGUCGACGCCGGAAUCUCAGAGAUUCCCGCCAUAUUCCGUGCACCUCCGGCUACUAUAACAACCCCAAAACCACCUUCUUCGUCGCAGUUCACCAUCCCAACAAUCGAUCUCCAAGGAGGUGCUGACUCGAUCUCGCGGCGC